AGGGCUGCAGCAUGCAGAAGCU
rnacentral:miRNA from 1 species